rnacentral:rRNA from 1 species
GACGAACGCUGGCGGCGUGCUUAACACAUGCAAGUCGAACGGAAAGGCCCUGCUUUUGUGGGGUGCUCGAGUGGCGAACGGGUGAGUAACACGUGAGUAACCUGCCCUUGACUUUGGGAUAACUUCAGGAAACUGGGGCUAAUACCGGAUAGGAGCUCCUGCUGCAUGGUGGGGGUUGGAAAGUUUCGGCGGUUGGGGAUGGACCCGCGGCUUAUCAGCUUGUUGGUGGGGUAGUGGCUUACCAAGGCUUUGACGGGUAGCCGGCCUGAGAGGGUGACCGGCCACAUUGGGACUGAGAUACGGCCCAGACUCCCACGGGAGGCAGCAGUGGGGAAUAUUGCACAAUGGGCGGAAGCCUGAUGCAGCAACGCCGCGUGCGGGAUGACGGCCUUCGGGUUGUAAACCGCUUUCGCCUGUGACGAAGCGUGAGUGACGGUAAUGGGUAAAGAAGCACCAGCUAACUACGUG